GAUGAACGCUAGCGACAGGCUUAACACAUGCAAGUCGAGGGGCAGCACAGGUAGCAAUACCGGGUGGCGACCGGCGCGCGGGUGAGUAACGCGUAUGCAACUUACCUAUCAGAGGGGGAUAACCCGGCGAAAGUCGGACUAAUACCGCAUGAAGCAGGGGUCCCGCAUGGGGCUAUUUGCUAAAGAUUCAUCGCUGAUAGAUAGGCAUGCGUUCCAUUGGGCAGGUGGCGGGGUAACGGCCCACCAAACCGACGAUGGAUAGGGGUUCUGAGAGGAAGGUCCCCCACAUUGGUACUGAGACACGGACCAAACGCGUACGGGAGGCAGCAGUGAGGAAGAUUGGUCAAUGGCCGAGAGGCUGAACCAGCCAAGUCGCGUGAGGGAUGAAGGUACUAUGGAUCGUAAACCUCUUUUAUAAGGGAAUAAAGUGCGGGACGUGUCCCGUUUUGUAUGUACCUUAUGAAUAAGGAUCGGCUAACUCCGUG
rnacentral:rRNA from 1 species